GACGAACGCUGGCGGCGUGCUUAACACAUGCAAGUCGAACGGUGAAGCGCCUUCCUUUUUGGUGGGUGUGGAUGAGUGGCGAACGGGUGAGUAACACGUGAGUAACCUGCCCCCUUCUUCUGGAUAACCGCAUGAAAGUGUGGCUAAUACGGGAUAUUCUGGGUCUGUCGCAUGAUGGGUCUGGGAAAGAUAUUGUUUCGGUGGGGGAUGGGCUCGCGGCCUAUCAGCUUGUUGGUGGGGUGAUGGCCUACCAAGGCGGUGACGGGUAGCCGGCCUGAGAGGGUGGACGGUCACACUGGGACUGAGACACGGCCCAGACUCCUACGGGAGGCAGCAGUGGGGAAUAUUGCACAAUGGACGCAAGCCUGAUGCAGCGACGCCGCGUGAGGGAUGGAGGCCUUCGGGUUGUGAACCUCUUUCGCCAGUGAAGCAGGCCUGCCUCGUUUGUGGGUGGGUUGACGGUAGCUGGAGAAGAAGCGCCGGCUAACUACGUG
rnacentral:rRNA from 1 species